GUUGUCUGGGUUACACAUUCACUGGAUGUAUUUUUAAUGCUGGCUGCACCAGUUAGAGCACAACAGGAAGAACAUCUGACUGUACAUCUCUU